rnacentral:rRNA from 1 species
UACGAAGGGUGCAAGCGUUACUCGGAAUUACUGGGCGUAAAGCGUGCGUAGGUGGUUUGUUAAGUCUGAUGUGAAAGCCCUGGGCUCAACCUGGGAAUGGCAUUGGAUACUGGCAGUCUAGAGUGCGGUAGAGGGUAGCGGAAUUCCCGGUGUAGCAGUGAAAUGCGUAGAUAUCGGGAGGAACAUCCGUGGCGAAGGCGGCUACCCGGACCAGCACUGACACUGAGGAGCGAAAGCGUGGGGAGCGAACAGG